AGAAGCAGAGGAGGAAGAUGAAGAAGAAGAGUGCUGUGUGUGUGUGUUUGUGUGUGAGUGAGAGGCAUACACACACGCAACACAGAGACGCGCGCGCCAAAUGCGAAAAGUUUCACUGCUCUCUUUCUUCUCUCUCUCUCCCUCUCGUCCCGUCCCUCUUCUUAUCCUUCAUGAAUUUAGUUGUUUUCUUUGCGGCAAUUGAAACAUACAUACAUCUACUUGCCUUUCUUUUUAACAUGUUUAAGGAUUAUUGGCGCAUUUGUGUACAUAUAUAUUCGCAAUUGAAUGCAGCCUCAAGAAUAUUAAUUACCAAUCAAAUCUAAUAACCGAAUGAAUCUUAAGUGGAAAUAAAUUGAAAAAUCAUUUAUGGAACAAAACAGUGUUACAAUAACAACAUAACAGCAGCGGCAGCGCAAAAGAAAGGAUUAGACACAGAAAAAGUACCGGAAAAAAAUGUAUAUUUUAUAGACCGGCAAGAGCACCAGCAGCAGCAUUAUCGGAAGCAGCGGCCAUAUAAAUCAUUUCGGAUAAAAUACACCAAACAAAACAAAAAGACCCUGAAAGUGUAAAAAAUAUUGAAGGCUUGCUGCUAGCUCGAAAAGAAAAAAAGACGACCCACCACUACUCUGUCCGCGAGAAAACGCAGGAGGAGCACUUGCAUUAGGAAUAGUAGGAAUAGAAAAAAAAAAUAAUAAUCGUCAGGCCGUAGAAUUGGAAUAGCAAUAAAGCCAGAAAGAAAA